CACCGCCAAGGCUGCAGAAUCACGGAACAUUCCCAGCUGGAAGGGGCCCACAAGGACCAUGGAGCGCAGUCCAGAAGGGAGCGGCCCAUGCAGGGACAGACCCCGCUCUGAGCAGAGGCUCACAGCGGGGCACGUUGCGAGCGAGCAGCUCCGCCACAGCACGAAGCCAUCGCUGGCCUCUACCCAAACCUCUGCCCGCACUGAGGAAAUCCGCACCAUGUCUGGUUACCGCGACGGCAAAACUCCACGGGACUCACGACUCAACCCCCGAGCCUGUACCUGUUUGCCCGGAAAGGACAGUCCAUUGCCGCAGAGCCGAGGCGGGGCCCGACACCGCCAGGGAGCGCGGGCAGGACCCGGGGAGGGGCCGGUCCCUCACGAGGCGGGAGCGCCAUGGCCGCGGCCUCGCCGGCGGUCCCUAGCGGAGGGCCGGCCCGGCUCCCUCUUCUCCCUGAGUCGCUCCCAAAACUCCGAGGACGCGAAUCGGGAUUCUGAUUUCCCGUCUCCCGCCGCAGCGUCCCAUUGGAGUACGCCAGGUGCUUUGCGUCGGAAGGUGAAAAUUGUUCUACCUCUUGACCUUUUUUUGAGGUUUGGCUCCGACUCAUUUGUUGCAGCGGCCAUGAAAAAUUAUGAUGAGGUGUUUUGAGGGAAACCAAAGCGCAGCUGCCGGCUGGGACAGCAAGGAAGGUGGCCCAGGCGGGUGUGGGCCCCGCACAUCCCCGCAAAGCCCCGGCACUGAGGCCUCCAGCCUCGGCGUGCCUCUGCAGACAGGCGGGAAGGAUUUGUAAUCCCUGGGCUGAGGAACAUCGGGAAGCAAAGAGCCAUUUCCCUGAGGAAGGGGAUGUUAAAAAUCAGCCAUCUGCAGGAACAAACAAGAGCUUGUGGCUCUGUGAGGACCCAGGGACUUGCAGCAAGGACAGAAUUGACAGAAGUGUUAGGAAUUGCACCUUCAGAAGUUCAGCUCAAGGGAGUGAAUCCUCAGAAAUCUGAAAAUAGUGAUGAUGACAACUGCAUAUAUGCAGAUCUCCUACUACAACCAGUAGCAGCUUGCAUGCAGAAAGAUUUCGGAAGGAAAAGGAAUCCUUUCGUUUUCUUUCCCAAAUUUUAUUAAUUCAACCAAAGUCUGUGUCGCUUCAGCCUUAAUAAAAAACAAUAAAAUUCUGGGAUGACUUAGGCUGGAACAACCUCUGAGUGACUUGUCUAAUCCAAAUCAUUCAAUUUCAGUCCAAACUGAUUUCAUUAUCCCUAAGUCAUUUAUUUAAAUAAAUGAAGUCAGACGAGA